UUUUUACUUUUUUGUUUAUUUAUUUGAACACGUAAUAUAUUUUUAAUAAAUGACGGUGUUGACAAUAUGACUCUAAAAUUCAUAUAAUAUGAUCUCAAACAAAAUAAUUAUGUUUUUUGGUAUAAAACCGAAUAAACCGAAAACCGACGGUAUAUAAACCGAACCGAACCGAAGUAAAUAUGGAUUUAGAAUGGUAGUUAUCUUUUACUAACCGAAAUACCGAAAACCGAA
rnacentral:lncRNA from 1 species